CUGCUCAUUCAUAGAAAGAGAGACAGGGCGUGAGGGAGAGAGGAAGAAAGGAGAAGGAGCAGGGGGCGCAGGGUCAGGGAGGCUGUCGCUAGCGGUGGCGGCUCCGGCGACCGGCCGGCGGGCUUCCCAGGCAAGGCUAAGGAGUACGCUAGCCUGAGAUUCAAUAGAGGUAUGUUUGAUUUUUAGAAUUGGGCUUAACAGCCUGUUUGUUGUGCUUCAUCUUCUGAAUUGGAAACCAUGGCGUGCCUGAAUAUUUUUUCUAGAACAUGGUGCUUGAGUUGGUAAUCAUUCGUGGGUGAUUUAUCCCAUAUACUGAUGGAUCAUCCUUUGGAGUGCAUGACUUGAAUGGAUUUCUGAAUUCCAAACAGUAUGCUCUCGUGAUGUUUGAUUAGGGUCUUCUGUGAAUCCGUACCAAAACCAUGCUUGUAUUUUCUUGUUCCCUCUCUCUAAUCCGGGACAGACACGGUGAUUCUGGUCGGAGCCGUGGCUACGUGAUUCUGGCCCGCGUGCAUCCAUAGUCAGAGGACGCCGAGCCUUCCUCGCUGCCAGCAACAUCAGCUCGUCUCGGCAUGAGGUCUGCACGCUUACCUUAUACCUUUCUAAUGGAAACUGAACUGGGAUUUUUUUGUCUACGCUGCUUCUUGCAGAUAGUCCAUGGUUUGUACAAAUAACCACAUGUAAAUCUUAAUUUAGUUGAUAUUGGAAAAGAUUGUUUCUUUGGAACCUUAUAUGUGGAGCAACUAGAAAUAGUACCUAUGUGUUUUUUCCUGGCUCCCACAUCAGACCAGUGCUCUAAUGUUUGUUCCAGGUUGAGCAUGGCAAUAAUGUACAGUUUGAACUUCGUGCUGGCAGAACUUUUUUGUCUUGAAGCAUUCUGUGAAUUACACCAUGAAUAGCAAGAACAUCAGGCCAUUUGAGAGAAGGGGUGUCCAGGAGUUCUCCCUAAAUCUUACUGCAUUCUUAGUGAUAAUGAGGAAUUAUUAUUCACUUGAGAAAAUAAAAAUUAAAACGGUGAGGCUCUCAAAAGUGAAAUGACUUUCUAAGCUGGACAUUGACCUUUUUUUGAGCUAGAUAUUGACUUUCUGAGUAGCACAAUAUAGGUCCUAUCUGAAGCCUUUUACGUGCCUGUUAUAAUGAUCUUCUUAUUUUCCUUUGCAUAUUAACUAGAGAAUAUUAUUGUCUGCUAUAACUGCUGAAAGAUGUCAUAUUCCUUUGUUAUAAUGCUGUUUGCAGUAGGAGGUGUACGCCUCUCGUUCAAAGAAGAGGCUCAACAAUCUUUUAGAUGGACUUAUGAUUACCACAUAUAUGAUCUUAUGAAGCAGGAGUUGAGAACUACAAAAUCCAUCUAUUCCUAGAAUGGAGCUGGUUGAAGUUGGGCCUUCAAUGGACCUGGUAGUUAGGUGGCACCGACGUUUAGUAAAGCCAAUUUUUUAUGAGGAAAUGCACCAAAAAAAGUUUAGUGGAAGUGGAUUAGAUUGUUUGUGGUCAUAUGCUCUUGAGAAAAUUUGCGCUUUCUUUAUUUCUUCUGAUUAUAUAUUUUUGUUUAUUUCUAACUGACAUUGAUAUGCAAAAGAAAAUCCUGUGAUUUUUUUUGCCCUCUCAUUGACCAUUUAAUUUUUCAGUCAUAGCUAUAUACAAAGAAGUAUUGUACCAUAUAGUUUUGUCUUUUCGGAAAUGUCUAAAGGCCUGUUACAUGCAUCAUUUUCUCUUUCAUAUCCUUCAUUUGAAACUGAAAAUAUGAACCAUUUUGUUGAUAUGAACAUUAGUUGCAAGGUGAAUAAAUAGUGGUCGACAAUGUGGCUGGAUGUACAUGAGCAUAUGUUGUAUCUUUGACGCCAUUCAUUUUGAAUCAUUAGAAUAAUAAAAGAGGUUUGUUUGUAUAAUUAUUUUCCAGGUUUCUAAACACAUUUAUUUAUCUCUUUUGUAUCCAUUGCAACACAUAUGUUUCCCUAAAUAAAAUGACUGUACAAUUGUGUGAACUGAGUGGCUGGUCGUUACUGUAGAUUAAAUUUCUCACAUUAAGAAUCUUUGCCUGACGCUACAAAAAAUAUAUAUGUUUUGUAGCAGGAUUAGUGAUCAAAUAUAUCCUUUUUGUUGUAAAUAUUUUAGUCUGCUACUUUGUUCAUUAAUUUUUCUGGGCAUUUUUGCUUAAGUUUUAUUUCAAAGCAAAAUCAUAUCGAGCUAUCUACAAGUUAGAAUUGUCCAAAACAGUUUCUGUAACAUUGUAUAUCAUGUGUUUUCUCUUUUAUUCAUAACAUAAUAUGCAGUCACACAAUUUAUAUCUUGGUUGUGAAUUCCAGAGGGGAAGGUAGCCUUCCAGGCAGUUAGAGCUUCGUCACUUGGAAGGUAGACAAGCAAUGCAAGCCAACAAAGAAUUAGGGAAGCACCGAGUUCGCCGGACGUAGCAGAACGUUUGUCGAGCCAUCCAAUAUCGCCAACGGUGGCUACACCAGAGGUAUGUGAUGCCUCGACCACCCUCAAAAACAGCCUUGCUAUUCCCCCUUCCCUUUCUUCUUGAGAUUGGUUGUAGCUAACUGAGUGCCCUCAGUCGGUCCCUCAAGCUUUUGUGUAUUCAGAGAUUUAUUUAGAGAUGGUAACUGAGCACUAGGUUGUUAUCUGCGUUGUUUGAUUUUUUUUCCAUGCACUGUGGCUGGACAUGAUGUUGGCAAAUACACAAGACAUCAUGGGCUGAGACAAUACAAUAGAAAUCAUGCCGAGGCCGGAAAAUUUGCUGAACUUGUGGUGCCUGUGUUCCUUCUCACAGUAGUUGUUUUAUGUGGUGAAAGUUUUAGAGGCCAAAUAACAGUUAUGUUGUUCCAUGCUUUUCAGUCCAAGCAGAUUUAUGUUUUGCAAGAAUUAGUGUACUUACAUGCAGAACCAGUUUUUCGAAGAUAAUUGCUUACAAGUUUUAUGUGGUUAAUAUUUCGGCAGAGUUUACAAACAAGAGUGAAACCUAUAAUGAUGAGUGACGAUUAUGGUAUGAUUACUGGAUCAAUAAUUCAUAGCAAGGAAGCUAUUUUACCGAAAAAAGUAAAUCCAGUAUUAAAUUUAGUAAAUUGUUGGGUAGAUCAGAUUAGAUGCGGCUUAAACCUUCGCCACUCCCUGCCAUUUAGUACUGGCUGGAGUCUGUUUGAGCUGACCAAUGUGGAGCAGAGUCGCAAUGGAGAUACCCAGUCUCACAUGCUUUAUUCUACUUCUUGUAGUAUAACAGAGCUUGGUUGUAGCUAACUGUGCCCUCAGUCAGUCCCUCAAGAUUUUGUGUAUUUAGAAAUUUAUUUAGAGAUGGUAAAAUAAAGAUCUUGAUGUAUUGACGGUUUGCGGUAGUGGGGCUGUUCUGUUACAGUUCAGGAUACUCAAAUUCCUCCUGCUCGUAUCAUCGUCUCCCUGUAAUGUGAUGUAGCACAGUACUAUGCACUUCAGCACUAAGCCCAGAACCUAGCUAGCUUACUUGAGGGUCGGCUCUGGAUUUUGACGAUUGUGUUUGUGUAUAAUUUGUGAGGGGCUGUAGAGAGUCAAUUAACAAGUCAAUUAAUACAAACCUGUUUUUCUCUACGGUCCUCUGAACAUACUCGCUAUAAGAACUUAUAUUUCAAUAUUUGAGCACUAAAAAAAUUGUCAAAUUGACUGACUGCCUUGUGAGAAAGUAGCAAGAAUGAACUCAGGAAAUUCUGCAAACGAUAUCAGCAUUGGUUUGUGUAGAACUGUGGAUGUUUCUCUUGCAAGUCUAGGUUUUAGACUAAAAAUUCCUGCAGUUGUUUGGGUAAUGUUUUUUUGUUAGGAAUUAGGAGAAUUGUUAUGUAGUAAAAUUACCAAAAUUCUUACAAAAUAUUCUGCAAGUUUUGUUUGCCGCUGCUCAGUCAAGCAAAGCCAACUGCUCGCCACUAUGUGCGGUUCUCUUGCCAUUUCAUGGGGUGCAACCGCAAGUGGCACACAAGACUGUAGUUGUGGUGUUCUAAAAUUGACUGAUGUUGAUGUUUCUUUUAAAGAUUGUGGUAUUUACCAAUUUGGUCCCCGGGUUAUGUACUCAUUUCCUUUUCUAUUCUUUGUAGAUAAUUUGCUUCAGUUCAUCGAACUACCUGCUGAAACAUGUGUAUUGUUUCUCAAUAUAUUGGGCAUCAAUCCACCUCUCAUGAGAUCUCUGAAUUUUCGACACAUAUUGUAUUGUAUUUGCUGAAUUAUUUCCUCCAGAUAACUAUGCUUGGAUUCACAAAUGCGUGCAAUGCUUUCAAGUAGAGGUAGUUCAAUACUUAAGUUGUGCUAUUCCACUUUCAAGUUUUUGGUCCUAGAAGUGUAAUACUUGGUAGGUUAGCUGCAAAAGCGGAAUGUAUAUGGCCUGAAUUUAUAUUUCAGAGUGUAUAAUCUGAUUCAGAGUAUUUUGACCCCUUGCGUUCUAAAACGUUUUGUUGUAUCGUUCUGUCUUGAAAGAAUAGAAGCAAUUCUUCUAUGUGAGAGAAUAUAAACGUUAUUCGCAAACAACAUGCAACGUCAUUAAGUUUCCUAUUACCAAUUUAAACACGAUCAGUAAUAGCACAACUAAAGUUUGUGAACAUAUCAUUAUAAAAUGGUCGGUUGGAUUGAAUUUUGUAUGGAUUCUACAAGGGCCAUUUCUAUGGAAUUACAAAUUAGCUUUACAUUUUUAUGGAUGGGUUCAUCGUCUUUGGAUUUCCCACGUUCGGAUGUGUUUGUGAUCAAGUGGACACCAUGACCACCAUCAGUAGGGUGGGAAGGAGGCUGUGUGAUAUUUUUUCUUUUCC
rnacentral:lncRNA from 1 species